UCAGGAGAUUAGACAAAGUUGCUGUCUCUUCUUCUGGAGUGCCAGUGGGCUUAGCAGGUAAGGGGAUUAAUACUUGGACCACAAGAUUAGUUCAGUACCAAUAAAAAGAACGGCAGAUCAAGAAGAGCUUAGGAGUCAGGCUUUCUGUGAUGGGUGUUUGCGUUUCCGGCCUCUUCUGAGUGGCGCUGUGUGUGUGUUUAGCAUUUGCCCUCCCAACUUUUCCAGAUUUUACCCGUCAGAUUCCUGGCAGCUGUGCACGGCGCCUGUGCCGGCCGUCACGUCCCAUUCUGAUCUCUGGGUCGCACGGUGAGAGAAGGACACAGGAUGCGCAGGGAGUGAAAAAGUGAUGUCGAUGGGGAGAGUGCCAAGUCCCCACUCACAGCCAUGGGACGCUCAGGGCGAAGGGGAAGCAUGCUGCUGUGGAGUUCAGAGGCCGGACUUUUUUUGUGUGUAGCCUUGGGUAUCCUGGAACUCCCUCUAUACAUCAGACUGCCUGGAAUUCAAGAGAUUCACCUACUUCUGCCUCCUAGAUGCUGGGAUUAAAGGCCUGCAGUCACCACUACCACACAGCUUGAACAGUACUUUUCUUUUUCUUAAAGGUUUCAUCUAGAGAGUCUGGAAUCGUGGGUUUAGCUAUAGUCCUGGAACCACCGCUGUCCUGGAAGCUAAGCCCUGUGUCAUCAGGCAUGGGGUGGAGUUCUCCAGCUAUCCUAAUGAAGCCAGGCCAAGACUGCUUCUCUGAAGACUCUGUUCCAAAGGUGGCCACUCUAUCACUGACUGAGAUCCUAAACGACAGCUUCCAGCUGACAUCUGGCUUCCUUGGCCUGUUGCUGAUUUCAUCCAUGUACCCCGCCCUGCUCCACCGGGCGCUUGAGACUGCUGUGGGCCAAAUGACUGUGUUGGCCUAUGGGUGACCUGGCCUCUGGCUAGAACUGCUUCCGUCCCUUCCCUCCAUCCCAUGUUUCUUUCUAACUAAGACCCUCAUCUUUAAUACUAUGGAGUAAAGAGAAGAAAAGAGCCAA